GUACUAUUUCUGUUAUUAACAGUGCCUCUGUUAACGUUAUCAGGGUUGUUGGCGAUUGCGUUCAGAACAGUUGAGCAAUUACUCAAUUGGUUCUGUUAUUAACAUACCUCUGUUAAUGUUAUCAGGGCUGCUUUCGAUUGCGUUAUGAACAGCUGAGUUAACAUAUUGAUUGAGUUAAAUUGUAAACAUAGUUUGCCAGAGGGGCGAAUUUAAGGAUUUGUUGGAAUUUAUAAUUCUAGUUGGUGCAAAUUUACUUAUUAUUUAUCUAUUUCAGGUCUCAUGGAUUAAUAUGUUAUACGGCCUGGCCUUCCUGUGUGUUUGCCGCCCGCAAUUGGACCAUCGACGUUGGAGCCGCUGCCAGGAGUGCCACGGGCGCCUUCUGGCAAUUUGGAGGUGUCUGCCGUUCGUCGAGGAUUGACCGUAGUCUGCUGGAGGUGCCCACACAAGCUUCUGGGGCACCUUAUGGUGUGUUUGCAUGCCAAAGCAGGAGAGUAGGAGCCAUAUUCCCAGCCUGUGGGGCAUUUGCAGCUGACAUGUACCCAGCCGUGUUCUGCGAAGGCAUGCUUGACGUUGUUGCUGCUGUUGCACGAGCUUCUGGCGCUUUGGAGGCCAGCAGUUGUGUUGAGCUGGUCCCCCAGAGUGCCUUUUGCCGAGUAGAGUGUGGAGUUGCCGCUGUUGCUGGUUGUCAGGAGCUGCAGCCCCCCUGACUGUUGACUGUGCGUUGUUGCUGCUGGGCGCCUCCACUACCUCCCGUUGUUGCUGUAGGUGCUGCUGGUGAAGGUUCGAGUGCUGCUGGCGGAGCUGUUGUGUGGUUGUGGGCUGAUUUUGUUGCCAAGGAGCAUCUGUGGCAAUGUUUAUGAGGCUGUAUGGGGCUAUUAUUAUGCUCUGUGAAAUAGAAAAAUUUGUUAUAUUGGCACAGAC